rnacentral:rRNA from 1 species
UGAUUAUAAUUUAAAGUCUAACCUGCCCAAUGAGUAGUUAAAUGGCUGCGGUAAUUUGACCGUACAAAGGUAGCAUAAUCAUUAGUUUUUUAAUUGAAAGCUGGAAUGAAAGGUCGGACGAGAAAAUGACUGUCUCAAUUUAAUUUGAAUUAGAAUUUUAUUUUUAAGUAAAAAAGCUUAAAUAAUUUUAAAAGACGAUAAGACCCUAUAGAAUUUUAUAUUUUUUUAAAUAACGGUUUAUAAGAAAUUUUUUAUUUUUAUUUAAAAACGUAUUUUGUUGGGGUGAUAGAAAAAUUUAAUAAACUUUUUUUUAUAUAUAUCAUUAAUUUAUGAUUAAAUGAUCCAUUUUUUAUGAUUAAAAGAUUAAAUUACCUUAGGGAUAACAGCGUAAUUUUUCUUAAGAGUUCAUA